ACGGCCAUACCAAGAUGAAAACACCGGUUCUCGUCCGAUCACCCAAGUUAAGCAUCAUUAGUACUUGGGAGAAUGACCACCUGUG